rnacentral:rRNA from 1 species
GACGAACGCUGGCGGCGUGCCUAACACAUGCAAGUCAAAGUCUGAGUGACUUCGGUUACAAGGACUUGGCGCAAGGGUGAGUAAGGCAUAGGUAAUCUGCCUUUUGGUCUGGGAUAACCCCGAGAAAUCGGGAACAAUACCAGAUGAUGCAGCGGAACCGCAUGGUUAUGUUGUUAAAGAUUUAUCGCCAAAAGAUGAGCCUAUGUUCCAUCAGGUAGUUGGUAGGGUAACGGCCUACCAAGCCUACGACGGAUAGCUGGUCUGAGAGGAUGAUCAGCCACAUUGGAACUGAGACACGGUCCAGACUCCUACGGGAGGCAGCAGUGAGGAAUAUUGCGCAAUGGGCGAAAGCCUGACGCAGCAACGCCGCGUGGAUGAUGAAGUUCUUCGGAAUGUAAAAUCCUUUUGCAGGGGACGAAUAGGUCGGCUUGCCGGCUGUGACGGUACCCUGCGAAUAAGCCACGGCUAACUCUGUGCCAGCAGCCGCCGCGGUAA